CAACCCUACAUAACACGUGUGCGCCUCAAACAUCAAUGCGAAGCCAUGUUCUGCUAUUCUUCUCGCUUAGACCUCUGUAUGCCUUUUCAAUUUUAGACAAAUUCUUUCAGUCUCCCCUUUCUCGAGUUUUUGGUCAUUGACUUGUUGAGUGAUCCUGCAAUCUUUCUUUAUUGUUUGCACUACCUAUUGGUAAAAUUAGGAUUUGAUGUUUACUCUUUCAAUGUUUAUCCAUCUUUGCUCUAUUUGAAUAAAAUAUGGUGUGAACUCUCUGAUUUGAUAAGCUAUUUGUGCAAGUUUUCUUUGUUUAUUGCGCUUGUGCCGCGUUUUGGGUUGCCAUGCAUGUUCUUUGCGAAAAUCUCGUGAGAAAGCUGAGCAGAAGGAAAAAAUGUAGGCAAAAGGGAAUGGUUGGUAAAAGGAAGACUAAUUAAGACAUUGAAACUCUGAUAUGAUAAGGCUUCUAAUGAUAGUGUUUUCAGGGAUUUGCUUAUGUAUUACUAUAAUCAAUUUCAACAAUCACUAAUUGAGUUAUGCCGUAGUCUGCAACUUGGCACAGAGCCUACACAUCAACAAAAGCAUGAAUUGUGGAUUGCGACUGUUGGUGGCGCCACUAGGUUUGGCACAGCUUACGAAAUGUCAAAUCGAGCAUUUUGUCAAUUCCAAUCACCCCUGCAAGGCAUAGGUUCUUCCAAUUAGGGGUGGGCAUAAACACCGAAAAUCGAAAAAUCUAACCGAACCGAAUUAGUUCGGUUUUUCAGUUUCGGUUUUUCUGUUUUUCGGUUCGGUUAUCGGUUUUUUUUUAAAUAACAAAUUCGGUGUUCGGUUCAGGUUCACCGGUUCUUUGGUAUUCGGUUAAACCGAAAAUUUAGUAAAUAAUUUUUACACCCCUCACCCUCAGAUCACUCAGCCCACUCCACUUUCUCAGGCCCAACUUAAUAUAUCCAACUAUGAACUAUCCAAGCCCAUCCCUAACUGACCCAAAUUAGUAUACCAGCUAUCCAACUCCAACGGACCAACCCUAACUUCAUUUCCUCUC